GACAAAACACCACACCCAGGAGGUGUGUGGGUUACACAACAGCUGUCCUUUUAGCAUUUGGAAACUGCCUAGUGCAUAGCGAGUGCUACCAUGAAUAACAAAUACUAUUUAGAAAGAAACUCCUUUAAACUGAAUGGAAAGUCACUAUCUGUAAAUAACACUGUUUCCACAUUCAUUAGUUACUAGUUUUGAAACUUAGUUUAGGUUUAUUUGAAAUGCAUCCCAGGCCUAUUGAAAUAGAUGUAAACAUUUUGGACAACCCUAGCCUGAGUUUUGUGUCUGUAACGAAAGCAGAAGUCAGGCUAUUUUGAUUCUGGUGUUUGGUAUGAAAGUUUCAUGGCAGCUCUGAUUUUAAUCUUUUGAACUCACCAAGUUUUCUCUUUUCACUUCUGCCUGGAAAGACGACCUAUAGUGCAGAGGUUUUCAAACAGUGGGGCGUGCCCUGCCAGGGGGCAUGGAGGAAUGUUUGAGAGGGUGGGCUUGUGCCAGCCGCAUACAGCGGAGCCUGGGACAAUCCCCAAGGAGGAGAGGGACCAUCACCUUCACCCCCUGCCUCACCUCAGCAGGUCACCCAGCCCAUGGGUCAGUGUCAACAUCUGCUGUGGCUGCACCAAUUCCCACUUCCAGCAACUUCUGCCCCCAGCGUUGGCUCUUGGGGUUGCCAACUCUCCAGGAUUGUCUGGGAAUCUCCAGAAAUUAAAUAUUAAAUUAAAUAUUAUGACAUGUGAUGAAACCUCCAGGAAUAGGUCCAACCAGAAUUGGCAACCCAAGUGGCUCUACCCCUAGAGACUCUCACAUGUGCCUCCCCCCACCCUGAAAACCCAAGGGGGGAAGGGCAGAGGGGCAGGUAUUGGCCUUGCCUGUAUUGGUGCAGCCUGGCCGCAUGGUAGAAGCAGCCGACUGCUGAGGAAGCCUUGGCUGUGCACUGGGCACCAUGUAGAACCAGAGCACCCUCUGCUGGCCAUCACUUCAUGGAAAUCAGUGUUUAGAAGAGUGCUGUGAAAUUUAGCUGGCGUUUGCACACACAUGUUGGCAGUUUGCUUUUUGCAUAUCCUCUAUUUUUUAUUUACUUGUAGUCUUGACAUUAGCAAUGUGUAAAAAGGAAGUGGAGGCAGUGUUGGUGGUUGUCGCUGACCAAGAAGGAUCAUGGGCAGGAGACGCAGAGUUUGCAUCCUGGAGGCCUGUACCUAGUCCGGUACCCGUAUGACGAUGUGUGUCAGAGACGAGAACACUGAGAGUUUUGAUACGGACCAUGCGGCAGUGAGAAGGAACUGGAGAUGUAGUCAAUCUACCCCCCCACUUUAUUGCCUUGGACAGAAGCACAAGGUGAAUCAGGAGGCAUGUGUCGACCAACGGACACUACUUUCAAAUGCUUCUGCUCCGGGCACGUGGUGCACACGUGUAACCCUCAGUGGAACACAGGAGGGACCCUCACUCAAAGAAAAAUAUUUUCUUAGAAGUUAAUUUGGGAUAAAACUGUAUCUUGAAAAAGCUCCCUACUGCACGAUACUAUAAUGCCCUCUUGUGGUUGAUAGCAUCUAAGCCUUGACAUGCUUUGCAGUACAUCUCACAAAACAAAAGCAGAAUGUCCACAGUUGCAGCUGACAUGCAAACUUUUGCAGAAUUGUAAUGUGAAUUUCCUGCAGAUGUGUCCACUGUUGAUGACUCAUGGUUAGAGGGAAAUGAGCAGGAGGUGUCCUGUCCCCCCUACACACCUUUUUGAGUAUCUUUUUCCAGGUUCUCCCAGCUUUGGUAAAUGGUAGCAUCUUUAAUAACUAUUGUUUUGCCUCCCUGGGUGCGGAAGGGACCUCCUUCUACAACUGUUUAUCUGAAGUAGAAGCCUAAAGUUUUUGCUUUUUAGUGACAAUUUCUCAAGUCCAAUCUCUGGCCUGAUUCGGGAUCACAAAGUGUUUUUAGAUUGUUGGCAUGAUUUUUAGAUGUGAAUAAAUACAAACUUACCUAAUAAGGAAAUUUCACUUGUGACACCCUGCUGGGCCUUGCAGCCCUACGUGAGGAGCGUUACCACACUUCUCUUCAGUGGAUGCAUUUACUUGUUCUUUUCUUUUUUCCCGCAAAGAGGUCAAAUCAAAUUCUGACCCACAACACACAGGAU